rnacentral:rRNA from 1 species
AUUGAACGCUGGCGGCAGGCCUCACACAUGCAAGUCGAGCGAGCGGCGGACUGGUGAGUAAUGUAUGGGGACUGCACGAUAGAGGGGGAUAACUACUGGAAACGGUGGCUAAUACCGCAUACUAUCGGAUAACCCAUAUGGGAUUAGCUAGUAGGUUGGGUAAAGGCUCACCUAGUCGACGAUCUCUAGCUGGUCUGAGAGGAUGAUCAGCCACACUGGGACUGAGACACGGCCCAGAGUCCUACGGAGGCAGCAGUGUGGAAUAUUGCACAAUGGGCGCAAGCCUGAUGCAGCCAUGCCGCGUGUAUGAAGAAGGCCUUAGGGUUGUAAAGUACUUUCAGCGGGGAGACGUUACCCGCAGAAGAAGCACCGGCUAACGCCGUGCCAGCAGCCGCGGUAAUUC